UCAGUCGGUUGGACGGCUGCGGGCGGAGUUUUACUACCGUCUGAGGAAAGUCCGGGCAUCGCAGGGCAGGAUAACGGCUAACGGCCGCCGAGGGUAACCUUAGGGAUAGUGCAACAGAGAUAUACCGCCGCAUUGUGCGGUAAGGGUGGAAAGGCGAGGUAAGAGCUCACCACGGGAAUGGAGACAUCUCCCGUCUGUAAACCCUAUCCGAUGCAACGCAGACUUAUGCUAUACAUCUGCCCGAUGUGCAUAGACGUGCGGCUUGAGCUUAUUGGCAACAAUAAGUCGAGAUAGAUGGUCGUCGGGGAGUUUUACUCCUACACAGAACCCGGCUUAUAGACCGAGUGAGAAA
rnacentral:RNase_P_RNA from 1 species